CUUCAAUGAUACAACAGAGAAAUUCCAAAAGCAUUCUGUUACAUCCAGGAGAUGAAAACCCUGUGUGCCACAGGGGUUGGGGGACUAGGGGUGGAUUUGCUGCAGACAGUGAAAUCAAGGGACCCAGUGCACUCUGUCAUGGGUACUGACCCAGCUGGCGCUAUAGAUGCAAAUAGCUUUUAGGGAAGAUAGCUUUCCUGCGUCCUGCAUCUCCAACCUCCGCGUGAAAUGGAAGGUCAAUGCUACAAGAUGGCCUGCAGAAUGACCAGUGAAGAGAAGCUGGUUUCAAUCUAAAAAGUGACUAGGAAGAAGACUCCAAGACCACUCUUUACCCUAAAUGUUACUGAUUUUAAGGGAAAACAAUGUUCUGCCACAAAUUCUGUUCCAAGAAGACAUCAAGAUGCCGAAGUGGAGAGUCUGAUUUCUUCUCCAGCUCACCCAAUCAGGUUAAAACCCAGUCAGCUUUGUGUGAAAAAUAUCUUCCAGUUUUAAGGGCCAAGGCUCAAUUUGGAAAACUCCACGGGUCUUAAAAGUCUGAAAACUGUGUUUUUCUUUUUUA